rnacentral:rRNA from 1 species
UAGCAUAUCAAUAAGCGGAGGAAAAGAAACCAACCCGGGAUUGCCCUAGUAACGGCGAGUGAAGCGGCAAGAGCUCAAAUUUGAAAGCUGGCUCCUUCGGGGUCCGCAUUGUAAUUUGCAGAGGAUGCUUCGGGAGCGGUCCCCAUCUAAGUGCCCUGGAACGGGCCGUCAUAGAGGGUGAGAAUCCCGUAUGGGAUGGGGUGCCCGCGCCCGUGUGAAGCUCCUUCGACGAGUCGAGUUGUUUGGGAAUGCAGCUCUAAUUGGGUGGUAAAUUUCAUCUAAAGCUAAAUAUUGGCCGGAGACCGAUAGCGCACAAGUAGAGUGAUCGAAAGAUGAAAAGCACUUUGAAAAGAGAGUUAAACAGCACGUGAAAUUGUUGAAAGGGAAGCGCUUGCGAUCAGACUCGCUCGCGGGGUUCAGCCGGCCUUCGGGCCGGUGUACUUCCCCGCGGGCGGGCCAGCGUCGGUUUGGGCGGCCGGUCAAAGGCCCCUGGAAUGUAACGCCUCUCGGGGCGUCUUAUAGCCAGGGGUGCCAUGCGGCCUGCCCGGACCGAGGAACGCGCUUCGGCUCGGACGCUGGCAUAAUGGUCGUAAGCGACCCGUCUUGAAACACGGACCAAGGAGUCUAACAUCUACGCGAGUGUUCGGGUGUCAAACCCGUGCGCGCAGUGAAAGCGAACGGAGGUGGGAACCCCUCGGGGUGCACCAUCGACCGAUCCUGAUGUCUUUGGAUGGAUUUGAGUAAGAGCGUAGCUGUUGGGACCCGAAAGAUGGUGAACUAUGCCUGAAUAGGGCGAAGCCAGAGGAAACUCUGGUGGAGGCUCGCAGCGGUUCUGACGUGCAAAUCGAUCGUCAAAUUUGGGUAUAGGGGCGAAAGACUAAUCGAACCAUCUAGUAGCUGGUUCCUGCCGAG